AUGCAGUCGAGCGGUAGCACAGAGAGCUUGCUCUCGGGUGACGAGCGGCGGACGGGUGAGUAAUGUCUGGGAAACUGCCUGAUGGAGGGGGAUAACUACUGGAAACGGUAGCUAAUACCGCAUAACGUCGCAAGACCAAAGUGGGGGACCUUCGGGCCUCAUGCCAUCAGAUGUGCCCAGAUGGGAUUAGCUGGUAGGUGGGGUAACGGCUCACCUAGGCGACGAUCCCUAGCUGGUCUGAGAGGAUGACCAGCCACACUGGAACUGAGACACGGUCCAGACUCCUACGGGAGGCAGCAGUGGGGAAUAUUGCACAAUGGGCGCAAGCCUGAUGCAGCCAUGCCGCGUGUGUGAAGAAGGCCUUCGGGUUGUAAAGCACUUUCAGCGGGGAGGAAGGCGGUGAGGUUAAUAACCUCAUCGAUUGACGUUACCCGCAGAAGAAGCACCGGCUAACUCCGUGCCAGCAGCCGCGGUAAUACGGAGGGUGCAAGCGUUAAUCGGAAUUACUGGGCGUAAAGCGCACGCAGGCGGUCUGUCAAGUCGGAUGUGAAAUCCCCGGGCUCAACCUGGGAACUGCAUUCGAAACUGGCAGGCUAGAGUCUUGUAGAGGGGGGUAGAAUUCCAGGUGUAGCGGUGAAAUGCGUAGAGAUCUGGAGGAAUACCGGUGGCGAAGGCGGCCCCCUGGACAAAGACUGACGCUCAGGUGCGAAAGCGUGGGGAGCAAACAGGAUUAGAUACCCUGGUAGUCCACGCUGUAAACGAUGUCGAUUUGGAGGUUGUGCCCUUGAGGCGUGGCUUCCGGAGCUAACGCGUUAAAUCGACCGCCUGGGGAGUACGGCCGCAAGGUUAAAACUCAAAUGAAUUGACGGGGGCCCGCACAAGCGGUGGAGCAUGUGGUUUAAUUCGAUGCAACGCGAAGAACCUUACCUGGUCUUGACAUCCACAGAACUUUCCAGAGAUGGAUUGGUGCCUUCGGGAACUGUGAGACAGGUGCUGCAUGGCUGUCGUCAGCUCGUGUUGUGAAAUGUUGGGUUAAGUCCCGCAACGAGCGCAACCCUUAUCCUUUGUUGCCAGCGGUUCGGCCGGGAACUCAAAGGAGACUGCCAGUGAUAAACUGGAGGAAGGUGGGGAUGACGUCAAGUCAUCAUGGCCCUUACGACCAGGGCUACACACGUGCUACAAUGGCAUAUACAAAGAGAAGCGACCUCGCGAGAGCAAGCGGACCUCAUAAAGUAUGUCGUAGUCCGGAUUGGAGUCUGCAACUCGACUCCAUGAAGUCGGAAUCGCUAGUAAUCGUAGAUCAGAAUGCUACGGUGAAUACGUUCCCGGGCCUUGUACACACCGCCCGUCACACCAUGGGAGUGGGUUGCAAAAGAAGUAGGUAGCUUAACCUUCGGGAGG
rnacentral:rRNA from 1 species